rnacentral:sRNA from 2 species
UUGCUAGACCGCUAGGGUUCCGGGUUCCAUGACGAAUGGCGCUGUCUGGUCCGAGAGCUGUCGGCCGCAGUCGCUGCGGCUCCACGGAGGGACAAAAGCCCGGGAGGA